rnacentral:rRNA from 1 species
GACGAACGCUGGCGGCGUGCUUAACACAUGCAAGUCGAGCGAUGAAGCUCCUUCGGGAGUGGAUUAGCGGCGGACGGGUGAGUAACACGUGGGUAACCUGCCUCAUAGAGGGGAAUAGCCUUCCGAAAGGAAGAUUAAUACCGCAUAAGAUUGUAGUACCGCAUGGUACAGCAAUUAAAGGAGUAAUCCGCUAUGAGAUGGACCCGCGUCGCAUUAGCUAGUUGGUGAGGUAGCGGCUCACCAAGGCGACGAUGCGUAGCCGACCUGAGAGGGUGAUCGGCCACAUUGGGACUGAGACACGGCCCAGACUCCUACGGGAGACAGCAGUGGGGAAUAUUGCACAAUGGGGGAAACCCUGAUGCAGCAACGCCGCGUGAGUGAUGACGGUCUUCGGAUUGUAAAACUCUGUCUUCAGGGACGAUAAUGACGGUACCUGAGGAGGAAGCCACGGCUAACUACGUGCCAGCCGCCGCCGUAA